rnacentral:misc_RNA from 1 species
AUCGCGUCGCCCCCCUUCCCCGCACUGAAUGCCGGGCGGUCGGGGGCGGACAUUGGCCUCCCGUGCACCUCCGUGCGCGGCUGGCCCAAAUGCGAUCCCCGGGCGACUGGCGUCACGACAAGUGGUGGUUGAACAUCUCAAUCUCUCUCGUCGUCGUGCCGUCCUGUCGUCAUUACGGGAAUAGUCAUAAACGACCCAACGGUGCCGGUGCUUAACUGCACCCUCACCUUCGGCC